rnacentral:rRNA from 1 species
UCCUACGGGAGGCAGCAGUGGGGAAUAUUGGGCAAUGGGCGAAAGCCUGACCCAGCAACGCCGCGUGAAGGAAGAAGGCUUUCGGGUUGUAAACUUCUUUUAUGAGGAACGAAGGACGUGACGGUACCUCAUGAAUAAGCCACGGCUAACUACGUGCCAGCAGCCGCGGUA